AUACGUAGGGGGCGAGCGUUGUCCGGAAUUAUUGGGCGUAAAGGGUGCGUAGGCGGCCAAAUAAGUCAGAUGUGAAAUACCGGGGCUUAACUCCGGGGCUGCAUUUGAAACUAUAUGGCUGGAGUACAGGAGAGGGAAGCGGAAUUCCUAGUGUAGCGGUGAAAUGCACAGAUAUUAGGAGGAACACCAGUGGCGAAGGCGGCUUUCUGGACUGUAACUGACGCUGAGGCACGAAAGCGUGGGGAGCAAACAGGAUGAGAUACCCUGGUAGUCCACGCUGUAAACGAUGGAUACUAGGUGUAGGGGGUAUAGACUCCCCCUGUGCCGGAGCAAACGCAAUAAGUAUCCCGCCUGGGGAGUACGGCCGCAAGGUUGAA
rnacentral:rRNA from 1 species